rnacentral:tRNA from 1 species
ACGGUUUUGGCCGAGUGGUCUAAGGCGCCAGAUUUAGGCUCUGGUCUGAAAGGGCGUGGGUUCAAAUCCCACAACCGUC